GAGAGUAGCUGGAUGCACUAUCGGGUUUUAAAUCAACAAAAACGACCUCCCUACCCUAAACCUUAAACCUAAACCUAACCGAUAGUGUCCGAAAAUCAACUCUGAGAUUGCGUUAUUUUAUGGUGCUUCAGUGGCACAUUGGGUUCACGUAUGGACUUUACAUCACGAGUGCAACGCUCUAUGACUCAAACAAGCUUGUAAAUGCAGUCGAUGAUGUCAUGCAUUACAGUAAAAGUGUUUAGAUGUCAUAAGAUAACAUUGUGUGAGGAAACAGGUGAAAAGUAAGUGUUUAUGAACUGAUAAUCUGCCAGUUUAUGUGAUUUAUGUGAUUGUUGUUGUAGCACCCAUAGUGUUCAUUCAUCAAACUGACGCUAUACGUACAAUGAGCCACGUGAAAUUCCUUUUGCAAAAAUGUAGGUAUGGUAAAUGGUCUGCACUUAUAUAGCGCCUUUUUAACCUUAACGGUAUUCAAAGCACUUUCACCCAUUGCAGCCGAGCUGCCAUGCAAGUUGCUAGUCUGCCAUUGGGAGCAACUUGGGGUUCAGUGUCUUGCCGGGGUCAAUGGAAGUCAAUGGAGUCAAUGGAAGUCAGUGGAGGUCAAUGGGGAUCAAUGGAGGUCAAUGGGGGUCAAUGGAAGUCAAUGGAGGUCAAUGGGGUCAAUGGAAGUCAAU